GUUGGGGACAGGGCUGAAUGUGUAAAGGUCAACAGAACAGUGGUCUCCUGAUGGAGUUGGGGACAGGGCAUGAACUCAUUGUAAAGGUCAACAGAGCAGUGGUCUCCUGAUGGAGUUGGGGACAGGGCUGAAUGUGUAAAGGUCAACAGAACAGUGGUCUCCUGAUGGAGUUGGGAACAGGGCUGACUGUGUAAAGGUCAACAGAACAGUGGUCUCCUGAUGGAGUUGGGGACAGGGCUGAAUGUGUAAAGGUCAACAGAACAGUGGUCUCCUGAUGGAGUUGGGGACAGGGCAGAAUGUGUAAAGGUCAACAGAACAGUGGUCUCCUGAUGGAGUUGGGGACAGGGCAUGAACUCAUUGUAAAGGUCAACGAGAACAGUGGUCUCCUAAAGGAGUUGGGGACAGGGCUGAAUGUGUAAAGGUCAACAGAACAGUGGUCUCCUGAUGGAGUUGGGGACAGGGCAUGAACUCAUUGUAAAGGUCAACAGAACAGUGGUCUCCUGAUGGAGUUGGGGACAGGGCAUGAACUCAUUGUAAAGGUCAACGAGAACAGUGGUCUCCUAAUGGAGUUGGGGACAGGGCUGAAUGUGUAAAGGUCAACAGAACAGUGGUCUCCUGAUGGAGUUGGGGACAGGGCAUGAACU
ensembl:lncRNA